CUACUUCUACCUGUGUUAUCAU
rnacentral:miRNA from 1 species